rnacentral:rRNA from 1 species
UAGGGAAUCUUCCACAAUGGGCGAAAGCCUGAUGGAGCAACGCCGCGUGUGUGAUGAAGGCUUCGGUCGUAAAGCACUGUUGUAUGGGAAGAACAGCUAGAAUAGGAAAUGAUUUUAGUUUGACGGUACCAUACCAGAAAGGGACGGCUAAAUACGUGCCAG